AUAAAAACUGCGAGGGAGACAGACUUGCCAAGCGACGUCACUAUCAGCACAUGGAUCCUCCUACUGCAACGACGAGUGCAUUACAAACUCACAGAAAUGAACUCACUCACCGCCCGCUCGCAGGGUGCUGCAGCCUAUCCCAGAGUGCAUUGGGCAAGAGGCAGGAAUACACCCUGGACAGGCUGCCACUCUAUCACAAGAGGUGCCACAUUGUGCAGAGUGCACUCCUCACCUCUGGAAAAUACCAAGAAUCACAAGCCACGCCCAGUUCUCCAUGCGCCAGGCCAUUGACUGUGCCCAUGUGUCAUGUGACAUUAAUCCCAGAAAACAGAACCCUAAGGCUCAGUUUAACCUACCAAUAUUGUGCAGACGGUCAAAAUAAGCAUUAAAUGGCAUUUUGUAAAAGUAGACAUUAAGCUGACAAAACAGAGAGGGAGUGCGCAGUAAAAUGUUGCAUGGUAAUUCAACGCUAACAGAUGACAUUUGGUCCCCAUCUGUUAGUCAAAAUAACACUUAAAUUAACACUAUUUCACCAUGUGGUUCUAUUGUGAGCUGUGGGCUGAUGAAUGGUGUGUGGACCACUCUAUUUACCCGCUGCUUACCCACUUGAUAGAAUGCUUGUUUGGACACAGUGUUCCCGUUGUGGAAUAUGCACCAAUUCUAAUGACUAGUUCUGACAGUUUGCCAUCAUAGACAAUUUUCCAAUAAAUAAAUCCAUCUCAUUCAUUUUCUUUGAGCAUUUUGGAGGAAAUACAAUCACCCAAAUAAUUUGAAAUGGGUAUUAAACACCUGUAAUUUAGUCAUCUCAUAUUCAUGUAUUUAAUGUUACAUUAAGAGACUGCUCAAAAUCCAUAAUUACCCUGUGUUUGAAAGAAUAUUGUGAUCAUUUUUGCUCAACAUCUCAUAAAUAUGUAGAAACAAGCGCGAAUCCGUAAUAGCUGCGACUGCACACAUGCAUGCAUCCGUGUGUGAAUGCAUCCAUGCACACACCCUCAUUCAAACACGUGACCUCUUCUUUGGCUCAUGACCAACCUUUCCACAAAAUCUUGUGCAAAUCUGUGAAUCCAUUCAGGAGUUAUGCACCUUUUUGUGAUUGACCAAGAGGGGGCGAGGUGAUAGGCGUGGCCUAUCGGCCUUGAAAGUUACGCCUCUACCUUCGGUCAUGACCAAUGUCCGUGC